GUCAAAGGUCUGCGCCAAUUUUGACGUCACAUUGUGCGCCACGUUUUUGUCUCGGUGCCAUGAAUUCCUACAAUGGCAGCCUUAGACAAAAUACUGUUAAUUUUAGUAUAUUCAGUGUUUAAGUGCUUACAUAUACACACACAGUAACUGUCCCUUCACACAUAGGACUAAGUGAACACUGUGAUACGUCUGACCUUCAGUCCGAAGCUGAAACUCAGACCAGUCAUAAAAGAAAGCACAAGUAAAACUUUUUUUAUUCACAAACAUAUCUUUGAUUGUUAAGAAUUUAUAAUCUUGUCUUUUGUACAUAUCUGUGAUGCUUGCGUACUGCAAUAUAACCACAUAAUAUAGUCCAAAAAGUGUAAGUUUGUAAACUUUUUAAAAAUGCAAAGCCAUGUACACUUGUGCACUUCAAAAAUUCAUUGUAUACUGCACCUUCUUGCACAUCUCCGUUUCCUGUGUGUGUUGUUAUAAAUCAAACUGUAACUUUAGGAAAAAAUAUGCCAAAAGCACAUUUGUAAUUAAUUAUGAACUUUUUCUACUUAUUUCUUUAGACCAAAUCCCCUGUACACGUAUAGUGAGUCUGAGGAUGAGCAGCCCACAAAAAAACGGUGUCCCCAGGCCCCUCGAGUGAAAAUACCAGCCCUCACCACUCCGCAGUCUUCCCCCCAGCCCACUGACAGCAGGCAUCAUAAUGCCCCUCCCAGCUUCGAGCACCUUUCGCCACUCCGGCAGAACACUCCAAACGACACAGCUUUGCAAUCAGCAUGCAGAGUCUGAUGUCGAGGCCUUCCCUAUAGAUGAUUCCAGAGACUCUGUGAGGCCACUAUUACAAG